rnacentral:rRNA from 1 species
CUACGGGAGGCAGCAGUGGGGAAUAUUGCACAAUGGGCGCAAGCCUGAUGCAGCCAUGCCGCGUGUAUGAAGAAGGCCUUCGGGUUGUAAAGUACUUUCAGCGGGGAGGAAGGGAGUAAAGUUAAUACCUUUGCUCAUUGACGUUACCCGCAGAAGAAGCACCGGCGAACUCCGGUGCCAGCAGCCGCGGUAAUACGGAGGGUGCAAGCGUUAAUCGGAAUUACUGGGCGUAAAGCGCACGCAGGCGGUUUGUUAAGUCAGAUGUGAAGUCCCCGGGCUCAACCUGGGAACUGCAUCUGAUACUGGCAAGCUUGAGUCUCGUAGAGGGGGGUAGAAUUCCAGGUGUAGCGGUGAAAUGCGUAGAGAUCUGGAGGAAUACCGGUGGCGAAGGCGGCCCCCUGGACGAAGACUGACGCUCAGGUGCGAAAGCGUGGGGAGCAAACAGGAUUAGAUACCCCGGUAGUC